GGAGUUGGCCGGACAGUCGCGUCGCGCGCAAGCGUAUCGAGGAAAGUCCGGGCUCCGCAGGGCAGGGUGCCAGGUAACGCCUGGGCAGUGUGAACUGACGACCAGUGCAACAGAAAACAAACCGCCGAACGGCAUCCUCGGAUGUGCGUGGUAAGGGUGAAAUGGUGCGGCAAGAGCGCACCGCGCGCGGGGCCAACGCCGCGUGGCACGGUAAACUCCACCCGGAGCAAGAUCGAAUAGGGGAACAUUGGCGCGGCCCGCGUCGUUCCCGGGUAGAUCGCUGGAGCCUGACGGCGACGUCAGGCCGAGAGGAAUGACUGUCGCGUCGCAAGACGUACAGAACCCGGCUUACAGGCCAACUCCUUUU
rnacentral:RNase_P_RNA from 1 species